rnacentral:rRNA from 1 species
GAGUAGGUUAAUAAGGGCGUAUGGAGGAUGCCUUGGCAUAAAAAGGCGAUGAAGGACGUGGCGUGACUGCGAUAAGCGUCGGGGAGGUGUCUAGCAACCUUUGAUCCGGCGAUGUCCGAAUGGGGCAACCCAUGGCAAGUAAUGUUGCCAUAUCUUUAUCCGUAAGAGAUAAAGAAGUAAACCCGGGGAAGUAAAACAUUUCAGUACCCGGAGGAAAAUAAAAGAAGAAUCAAUUUAUUAUUCAUGGGUCCGGAUAGUCGGACUAAUGAAUAAUAUUUUGAUAAUAUUCCCUUAGUAGCGGCGAGCGAAAAGGGAGGAGUCCAAACCUGUCUGACGCUUUCGCAAGAAAGUGUCGGGCGGGGGUUGUAAGGAAUAAUCGUUUUCAUAGCAAUAUGAAAGGAAAGUAUAUAAACUGGAAAAUUGAUUAGUUGAACGGUUUUGGAAAAGCCGGCCACAGAGGGUAAUAGCCCCGUAAGCGAAAAUCUUUUUCAUACUUUCGGAUUAUUUUCUUGAGUACUGCGGGGAAAGACUGCCCCGUAGGAAGCCGGGAGUACUACACUCCCAAGACUAAAUACUUUUUAUGACCGAUAGUGAACUAGUACCGUGAGGGAAAGGUGAAAAGCAGCCCGGUGAGGGCGAUGAAAUAGAUCCUGAAACCAUACGCUUACAAAGAGCGGGAGUCCGUUCUCUCUGUCGCAAGACGGGGCGAGGAUGACCGUGUGCCUAUUGAAGAAUGAGCCAACGACUUUAUGUGUUUUGCUUGUUUAACCCCGCUUAGCGGGGGGAGGCAUAGGGAAACCGAGUGUUAAUAGCGCGUUUAUUUUGUCGCAAGACAGAAUAGGCAAAACUUAUAAGACCCGAAGCCAGGUGAGCUUACCAUGGUCAGGCUGAACUCUGAUGAAAGUCAGAGGGAGGGCCGCACCCACUAGCCGUGCAAUACUAGGGGAUGAAUUGUGGUAAGAAGUGAAAAGCUAAUCGAACCUGGUAAUAGCUGGUUCUCUCCGAAAUAGCUCUAGGGCUAGCCUCAAAUGUUUUUUAUCGGAGGUAGAGCACUGGUUGGUCUGUAUUGGCGCAAGCCAGGCAGACCAGUCAAACUCCGAAUUCCGGUAAAAUAGUUUGGGAGUCAGUAUUCGGGGGCA